rnacentral:rRNA from 1 species
AUGGAACACAACAAGGCACCGGGACCGGAUGGCUUUCCCGCAGAGUUCUAUCAAUGCUUUUGGGACGUCAUUAAGGCAGACUUGGUUCAGUUGUUUAACCAACUGCAUUCCGAGGACCUUGAUAUUUCUCGUUUAAACUUUGGGGAAAUUAUCCUACUGCCUAAGAUUAAGGAGGCUAGUCGUAUUCAACAAUAUCGACUGAUUUGCCUUCUCAAUGUAAGUUUUAAAUUUUUUACGAAGGUAGCGACUAAUCGGUUGAACGGUGUAGCUGACCAUGUCGUAAAACCCACACAAACAGCAUUUAUGCAAGGUCGCAACAUUUUAGAUGGAGUGGUCGUCCUGCACGAAACUGUACAUGAACUGCACCGAAAAAAAUGA